rnacentral:piRNA from 1 species
AAGAUGCUAUUGAGUGGACUUGGACGA